AGCGAACGCUGGCGGCAGGCUUAACACAUGCAAGUCGAGCGGGCACUUCGGUGUCAGCGGCAGACGGGUGAGUAACACGUGGGAACGUACCCUUCGGUUCGGAAUAACGCUGGGAAACUAGCGCUAAUACCGGAUACGCCCUUUUGGGGAAAGGUUUACUGCCGAAGGAUCGGCCCGCGUCUGAUUAGCUAGUUGGUGGGGUAAUGGCCUACCAAGGCGACGAUCAGUAGCUGGUCUGAGAGGAUGAUCAGCCACACUGGGACUGAGACACGGCCCAGACUCCUACGGGAGGCAGCAGUGGGGAAUAUUGGACAAUGGGCGCAAGCCUGAUCCAGCCAUGCCACGUGAGUGAUGAAGGCCUUAGGGUUGUAAAGCUCUUUUGUCCGGGACGAUAAUGACGGUACCGGAAGAAUAAGCCCCGGCUAACUUCGUG
rnacentral:rRNA from 1 species